AGCGCCUCUAGCGGCUGUCAAUGAGACAGCCACAAGAGGCUGGAUUAACCCAUAGUUAAACAUAGCGGUUUCUCUGAAACUGCUAUGUUUACAGCAAAAAAGGUUAAAGCUAUCUGGACCUGGCACCCAGACCACUUCAUUAAGCUGAAGUGAUCUGGGUGCCUAUAGUGGUCCUUUUAAGGACACAAGCAAUUUUUGCAUGUUUGUGUUCAACUGUAAUUUGUAUAUCUCUCUUUUUUUUGUAUCAAUCCAUAUUAUAU